GACGAACCGUGCGAACGUUAUUCGGAAUCACUGGGCUUAAAGGGUGCGUAGGCGGGUUGCCAAGUCUGUGGUGAAAUCCUCCGGCUCAACCGGAGAACUGCCGUGGAUACUGGCGAUCUUGAGGGGUGUAGGGGCUUGCGGAACUGUGCGUGGAGCGGUGAAAUGCGUUGAUAUGCACAGGAACUCCGGUGGCGAAAGCGGCGAGCUGGACACCUUCUGACGCUGAGGCACGAAAGCUAGGGGAGCGAACGGG
rnacentral:rRNA from 1 species